AUUCUCAUUAUUUAUACUUUUCUUUUACCCAGCACAAUUUAUGAGUAUAUUCUCCUGGAGGGUGUUAAUAAUAAUAAUGCUGUGGUUACUGAUCUAAGUAACCAGUGCACUGAUUAAUGUGUUAAAAACACAAACCCUGUUACGCUCAGUAAAUGUGUGUAGGUAUUAGUAAAGUCCUUAGAAUGCUUAGCAAACUAAUCACAACCUUAUGUUUUACUUUACCAUGGCACUGUUUGUGUGAAUUCUAAGUUUUGGUGGUGAGAUGAUGUCAGUGUGUGAUGUGUGAGUCUGAUAUAAUAGUGUGUAUGUUAUGAUGAAAUUCUGACAGGUGCAGUGAGGGCAGGAGGCCCUGUGGAGCAGUGGACUUGUUAGCUCUAUUUAUCCUGAUGCCUGUCUACAGUUCCCAGAUCCCAGAUCUCAACACACACGCGCAUACACAAGCACACACACACACACACACACACAACCCGCUCUACUACACCGUGCCACUGAGGAGGCAGCAAAAGUGUGUGUGUGUGUGUGUGACAGAGAGAAAGAGAUUGCUAUGGCUCGGUGUUGGCCGUCAUCCUCUUUCCUAAACCCCUGUUAAAUCCCCCGAAGGCCAAAUCCACACAGCUUAAGCAGCAGAUCUGAGCCAUUUAAAUGGGUGAAUGUCACCAUCACCCUCUUGCAGAAACACACACACACACACACGCACACACAUACACGCAUGCCUGAGGCAGUAACUGUCCAGACUGACCAGCUGUACAGAGACACAGAGAAUGAGAGAGAGCGUUAGCAUCUCUGACAGGUUGCAGCAGAGCAGUAGAGAGGAGUGAGAAUCAGACUGGUUCAGACUGGGCUGAGAUUACUGAACAGAGACAAAAUGGCAGCCAUUCACCUGGGGCACAUCAUCAUUUCUCCUGCCUGCUUCAGGCUGCAGAAAAAAAGGCGCUAGAUGGCAAGAUCUUCAGAGAUUAAGCUUGCAGUCACAGCUGUUUUCAUCCAUCUUCUCCAGUGAGCUAAAACUCAGUCGGUGGCCAUGUGACCAUAACUCACUGGCUUGAAAGAGGUUCCUGAAGUGCAUGGAGUAAGAGCUUUAUCCUGAUCAAGGUCCCAGAGGAUCCAGAGUCUAUCCCGGGAAUGCUGAGCUAGAGGUGCGAAUACAUUGUGGAUGGGAUGCUGCCAUUAACAGUAAGGAAUAUUAUGCAGAAAAGUCGAAACCCUAGACUAAAUGUACCCUGUGUUCAGAGGCAAUGAUUUUAGGUUCUCAUAAAGCCAGCAUACAGAGAGUUUCUUAUUGUCCUGUACUGUGUGUCUGCAAAUCCUUUGGAUUCUUCCUUGCACAAAGCUGAAAGAUGUAACACCGCUUGCUCCACCCACUUUAUGUUGCUAUUGCUCAUAUCAUCUAUUCGUAUCAUCUCAAAUCAUCUAUGACUUUCGAGUAAAUUCAUGUUGCAUUAUAUAUUGCCGACGAUCUUCCUGUUAGUUUCCUGUUAAUAUCUAAUAAUAAUGAUUGAAUAUUAAGCCAGAGCUGAAUGGCUUAAAGGGCUCACAGCUAAACUAAAAAAAAAAAUUCGCCAGCCAAAAUCUACUUUUAUUUCCAGACCAAAUUGCAUAAUUUAUCAGUUACUCGCAUGCAACAUUACCCUUCUUUUUUCCUCUGCCUUUUCCUCACUCCCACACCCACACCCACUCCCCACCACUGCCCCUUUAUGACCCCCCCCACGCCACCCUGCUGCCUCUACUCAUUUCCAUCCUGUGCCCGUCUCUGCUGCCCAGCUGGAGUGCUUCUGGCACUCGUCCCAAGGGCGAAAACAAAGAUGUAAAUGCGGAUCGCCGCAGAUGGAACAGUUGUACGAACAAGAGCUUUUCAAAGUGCACUUAUGGGGCCUGGUGAUUCCCUCAGGCUCUGGGUUCAAACGACUCCUGCACCCUCCUGCUCCCUUCAGAGAGAUCUGGCACUGCCGUGAAGAUUAGCACGUUAAAGCACUUCCUCCUUCAGGUUGUCUGACCUGCUGCUGGUCAGAUGAAAUGCGCUGGCCCGCAGGAAGUUCAGCUAGGAUAAGCACUCAGUACCCUCUGUCUCUCUCUGUGUGUGUGUGUGUGUGUGUGUGUGGUGUGUGUGUGUGUGUGUGUGUGUGUGUGUGUGUGU